AGGCGAAAAGAACCCCUGUGAGGGGAGUGAAAUAGAACCUGAAACCGUGUACGUACAAGCAGUAGGAGCACCUUCGUGGUGUGACUGCGUACCUUUUGUAUAAUGGGUCAGCGACUUAUAUUCAGUGGCAAGGUUAACCGCAUAGGGGAGCCGUAGGGAAACCGAGUCUUAACUGGGCGCUUUAGUCUCUGGAUAUAGACCCGAAACCGAGUGAUCUAGCCAUGGGCAGGUUGAAGGUUGAGUAACAUCAACUGGAGGACCGAACCGACUAAUGUUGAAAAAUUAGCGGAUGACUUGUGGCUAGGGGUGAAAGGCCAAUCAAACUCGGAGAUAGCUGGUUCUCCCCGAAAGCUAUUUAGGUAGCGCCUCGGACGAAUACUACUGGGGGUAGAGCACUGUUAAGGCUAGGGGGUCAUCCCGACUUACCAACCCUUUGCAAACUCCGAAUACCAGUAAGUACUAUCCGGGAGACACACGGCGGGUGCUAACGUCCGUCGUGGAGAGGGAAACAACCCAGACCGCCAGCUAAGGUCCCAAAUGAUUACUAAGUGGGAAACGAUGUGGGAAGGCUCAGACAGCUAGGAUGUUGGCUUAGAAGCAGCCAUCAUUUAAAGAAAGCGUAAUAGCUCACUAGUCGAGUCGGCCUGCGCGGAAGAUGUAACGGGGCUAAGUAAUCAACCGAAGCUGCGGCAAUGCAUUUUAUGUAUUGGGUAGGGGAGCGUUCUGUAAGCCGUUGAAGGUGUGUGGUAA
rnacentral:rRNA from 1 species